rnacentral:rRNA from 1 species
GUACACUCCUGCGGGAGGCAGCAGUGGGGAAUAUUGGACAAUGGGCGCAAGCCUGAUCCAGCCAUGCCGCGUGAGUGAUGAAGGCCCUAGGGUUGUAAAGCUCUUUCACCGGUGAAGAUAAUGACGGUAACCGGAGAAGAAGCCCCGGCUAACUUCGUGCCAGCAGCCGCGGUAAUACGAAGGGGGCUAGCGUUGUUCGGAUUUACUGGGCGUAAAGCGCACGUAGGCGGACUAUUAAGUCAGGGGUGAAAUCCCGGGGCUCAACCCCGGAACUGCCUUUGAUACUGGUAGUCUUGAGUUCGAGAGAGGUGAGUGGAAUUCCGAGUGUAGAGGUGAAAUUCGUAGAUAUUCGGAGGAACACAAGUGGCGAAGGCGGCUCACUGGCUCGAUACUGACGCUGAGGUGCGAAAGCGUGGGGAGCAAACAGGAUUAGAAACCCCAGUAGUCC